rnacentral:rRNA from 1 species
GACGAACGCUGGCGGCGUGCUUAACACAUGCAAGUCGAACGGUGAAAGCGGAGCUUGCUCCGCUGGAUCAGUGGCGAACGGGUGAGUAACACGUGGGCAACCUGCCCUUCACUUCGGGAUAACUCCGGGAAACCUGGGCUAAUACCGGAUAUGACCUCUGCGUGCAUCCGCGGAGGUGGAAAGUUUGUCGGUGAAGGAUGGGCCAGCGGCCUAUAAGCUUGUUGGUAGGGUAGUGGCUCACCAAGGCGACGACGGGUAGCCGGCCUGAGAGGGCGACCGGCCACACUGGGAAUGAGACACGGACCAGACUCCUACGGGAGGAAGCAGUGGGGAAUAUUGCGCAAGGGGCGAAAGCCUGACGCAGCAACGCCGCGUGCGGGAUGACGGCCUUCGGGUUGUAAACCGCUUUCAGCAGGGAAGAAGCCGCAAGGUGAAGGUACCUGCAGAAGAAGCACCGGCUAACUACGUGCCAGCCGCCGCCGUAA